rfam:Triticum aestivum genome assembly, contig: Triticum_aestivum_CS42_TGACv1_scaffold_224656_3B
GAUCUACUCCUUCCCUUCCAAAAUACUUGACUUCCAUUUGUCCAAAAAUGAAUGUACCUAUAUACUAAAACAUGUCUAGAUACAUCUAUAUUUUGACAAAAGAAAGGCAUGUAUUGUGGAACGGAGGGAGUAAGCA